rnacentral:rRNA from 1 species
UACGUAGGGGGCAAGCGUUGUCCGGAUUUAUUGGGCGUAAAGAGCGUGUAGGCGGCUUCACAGGUCCGCUGUGAAAACUCGAGGCUCAACCUCGAGAUGUCGGUGGAAACCGUGUGGCUAGAGUCCGGAAGAGGAGAGUGGAAUUCCCGGUGUAGCGGUGAAAUGCGCAGAUAUCGGGAAGAACACCCGUGGCGAAGGCGGCUCUCUGGGACGGUACUGACGCUGAGACGCGAAAGCGUGGGGAGCGAACAGG